CCCCCUCCCCAACCACUACCCCACACUUUUUGUAUUAGAAAUUAUCAUUUUAUGAUUAAGAAGUUUUUAAUUGCCUUGUAGCUAUUAUGUUCAUGAGAAAUGCAGCUAUUAUGCACAUAAGAUAUUGGAGCUUUCUAAAGGUGUUAUGUAUUAGUACAUACUAAUAUCAGUGCCAGGCCAGAAUAUCUCUUUUGCACUCGGAGGUGCAAAUUUUGUACAUCAGAGAUGCUGAAUUGGUGACACAGGCUUUGCAAAAGAAUGGCAUUUAAAGCUUUCAGCACUAUCAUGUAAGUGAGUUUUCUGUAGUUACCAAAUUUGUGCUGAAAAGAAUUGGUUUUCGGCAGUUUAAAUGAUUUAUGGUUUUUAAGUGAAGUUGAAUAUGAUAAAAUAUGUGAUAGUUAACUUGUCAUGAUUUGGAUUUGUGAUAUUUUGUUAUCUACCUAUUCUGAUACAGACAUGUUACUUCUCUUUGUUGUCUACUUUUAGUUAGUUAGGCCAUGCUUGUCGGGGGAUUGUAAUCCUAAGAAUGUUGCCUUAUUCAUGUAAUUCUUAAGUUGUCUUAUGAGUUAUGAUGUUACAUUUCAAUCAUUUUUCUAGUUUACAUCCAUAUUAUUUUUGAUACCUGGUGAGGGUGGAAAUAUGUAGUUGCCCCAUAUUGAACUGAAAACAGAUCAAAACUUGUUCAUGGGAUAUAUUUGACGGAUUAAGUAUAUGAUAAUGUGAGUACAAAUCAUAUAUAGCGAAAGGUUUUUCUUUUUGCUAAAUUAAAUAGUGAAAGAGUUUUUUUUUGUGUGUGUGUGUUAAAUUAGAUAGUGAAAGGAUGAUGGUCCUUGCAAAACAAACAUAGCCUCAUUAGUCAUUACAUUGUCAUAAGUAAAGUUCAUUAGGAAAUUGGAGAAGGCCCGGUUAACUAUUCUCUUUUUACACUUCAGCAUUAUUUUUUUGGAACAACACCAAUUUACUUUAAAUUGCUAUGAAAGGUUUCCAAAAAAAUAGGCUUAAUUAGAACAUCUGAUGUUUACACUUAAUGCAUGUGACCUCUACUCAUCUCCAUCAAAUAAAUAUCUUCUUAACUUGUUGGAACUCUUCUUUUAACAAUUUUUACAGCCUUUUGCAAACAGAACAAAAGCUAGGAAAUUAGUUUGUGAAUUUUAUUGAAGCUUGUUGAAGCUGAUACUGUGAAACGUUGAUUGUGAGUUCUUUAUAUGUUAUUCUUGCUCUUAUAUCUUAAUGUAUUAAUAGAGUGUUAUCAAGUGAACUCAGUAAAUGAAGCUAUGAAUAGAAUUCAGCUAACUAACUUGGUGAAUCGACCCAUGAUUGGCAGGGCACAAAUUUUUUGGCUAGUUUUGGAUUUUACUUGAAAGUUCUUUUUGUAGUUGAAGGUUAUUUUUCAGUGCUCAAAAUUUACUUGUUUGCAGAUAUGUUAUAUGCAAUAAUGGAUAGAUCUAUAAAUUCUAUCGAGAUCUAGGUGAUAAAUGAGUUCAGUUACAGAGCAGGAUUUUUUAGGUUAAAAGAGAAGAGAAGGAUUUGAAACAAAAACUCCUGCUUUAAAGAUGUUUUUGCAGGUAAGUUUAAGUUUAAAAGUGGCUAAGAGUAUGACAGGCAUAAUUUGGAUGAAAGUGACAUGGCUACGUAUGUGGGAAGGUAUGAUGACCCAUGGUUAGAUUUGGAAAUUAUGAAUGCUAAUAGUCUGGACCAGGACGAGGUUGUAGAAGCAAUAGAAGUCCUAAUGCUCUUUUUCCUGAAUUAACAAAAGGUAAAGAUAAAACAUUGACAUAUAAACAAACAUACAGUCUGACAGUCUGUGACCAGGGUUUGAAGUUUACAUCAUUUUUCAUGAUUUUCAUAAUUUAAUUGUUUUAUUGUGCUGAUGCCAAAUCAACAAUAAUUUUAAAGAAAAUUAUCUUCUACGGAGUACACACUACUUCUUCCCCAUCUCUUUUCUAUUCUUGCCUUUUCAUAUAUUCCAUGCCUCCCAAUUAUUACCGAUAAGUAUACAUAUAUGGUUGUCUGGCAGUGGGGAGACAUGAUUUACUUGCUUGAUGUUGGUGUAAGAACCGUAUUAUUUUGUUAAUUGGAUUACUAUCUGGUUUUAAUGUAAUUAUUUUGUUAAUUGGAGUACUAUUCUGUUUUAAUCUCUAAUGUGUGCUGGAUUGUAUUCAGCUAGAUUGCAUAGACAUUAUAUGGGUGGCCCGAUCCAGCUGUGACCAGUGAGACACGGUCUCUUGUGUAGCUGAGCCUUCUCAGGUAACCUGCACACGGAAAGGAACCUACCUUGUGUAGUGCGAAUUAUUCAAGGAAUUUGGAUAUGUUGUGCUGUCAAAAUCAACAGUUUCCCUAACUGACAUACUGGAGACUCAACAUACACAAUAACUUCUGACAAUAUCAACAUACGACUCUGUCUCUCAGCUUGCAGCUACUCAAUUCUCCUAGAAUCUUUAGGCAACACAUUUAUCUCUGUUUCCAAUAGUAGCUUUAUCUUCUUUUCUAUAGUUUGGAUUCAUUAGGUGUUUCAAUAAUCGCUUUAUCUUCUCACCCAGUCUAGUAUGUUACUCCCUCUGUCCCUCUCAUUUCUUUACAGUUACUAUUUUGCGAUGUCCCUCUCAUUUCUUUACAUUACCAUAAAUAGUAAGUUUUUUCCAUCAUUACACCCACUAUCUCAUAUUUAACAAUAAAAACUACUAUUACACCCACUACUUUCCUCCACUAUCUCAAAUCUAUUAUUAAAAAUUGAUGGGUCCCAUCACUUUACCCACUUUUCAUCUAAUUUUACUCAUUUUUCAUACAUUAUCUUGGUCUCCGUGUCCCCCUCCAAUGUAAACAAUUGAGGGGGAAGGAGGGAGUAUGUGUUUGUGUGAUUAUCACAGUGAUAUGAGUUGUCUAAUAAAAGUACUGAAUUUGGGUAUCCUCGUUUAGAUUUUUUCAUUAUGUUAUUGAUGUGGGCUGUAUAAUUUUUUGUUACAGGCCCUGUUAUAGACCAGUGUAAGAAUUUUUAAUCAUGUCACAAUAUUUACACUGACAAGCUUUUACAAAGUUUUCUGACUUGAUCCGAAUAUAUAAGAUUCUUCUUGCUUUCAUUUGGUCAUCUGGUUUGUGAGGUUGCAAUAAAUUUUUGGCUAGAAUCGCAGCUAAAUUUACAUUAUGGUGAUGGAGGAAAAAUUGUGAACUAAGGUCUAAGGAUCCCUGAUUAGCAUGUAUUUUCAUUUUGUUGCUUCUUGAUGAACCCUUUCGAUUCGAGUUGGUUGUACUACAAUAUGAUUCCUGGCAGGUAGCAAUUUUGUAUCACUGUUCACAAUAUACUGGAGUAGUAACAAACUUAUGUAUUUCCUGCACUGAUUACAUGAUUGUCCUGAUAUUUAUACAGCUCAUAUCAUUAGCUAUAGGCUCCGUAUCAUUUCUAACCAAUUUGUUCGACCACUUUUCAAAAGUAACCAGUUUUUUUUCAUGCUUUCAAAACUAACCAGUCUAAAUGAAUCGAGAAAGAGCGACCCGAGCGGGAGAGUUUUACAAGUUAGGGGCGCGCUUUGAAAACGCGACCCAAGCUUGAAAAAGCCACAUACGGGUCGCGUUUUCAAACAGCGACCCAAGCUGUUUAAAAACCACCAUAAAAACCCUACCCACAGGCCACAACAUACAGUCAAGCAUAAAAACUGAGAAAAAAACAGAAGAGCGGCGGAAGAAAGAAAGAGGGCAGCCGGAGAGGGGAGUCCGAGAGGGUCGACGGAGAGCUGAAAAGGGAGGAAAGGGUCGCCCAAAGUCUGAUUUUAAGCUUCAAAUCAACCCCGAUUAGCAUUAAUUUGAAGAUGGAUCCCGUAGUUUACCAUCCCGGCCCAAUCGAUGGCAGCUUGUUGACAUUGCAGAGGGAUCACAGGUCUGAGGCGGUGUGGAACAGGAGAGGGCCACCGGAGGAUUUGGUAGUGAGGGGCAACUUCGGUGAUUAUUGGAACACAGUUAAAAAUCACCGGCCGCAUGUCUCGAUAGUGACUGCCAUCACGGCCGCGGGUUUUGGAUGGAUUUUCAGGUUAGGGAAGGUCAGGCAUGACAGGGGGUGAUCACAACCUUCAUUGAGAGGUGGCGUCCAGAGACGCACACUUUCCACUUUUCAUUUGGCGAGGCCACCAUCACACUGGAGGAUGUUCAUCACAUUCUCGGCUUACGGACCACUGGCCGACCACUUAUCCUGCACGGGUACACCUCCACUCCAGCUCAGAGGGUGGCUUUGGUACGGGAUUUACUUGGACUGGCUCCUGACACCGAUGAUUUGAGGAAGGACAAUUUGAAGAUCCGGUGGUUGAUUACACACUUUGGCAGAUGUCACCGGUUGGACGAGUUGGCUGGUGAUUUUGGUGCGCAGUCUAUCUUUCACAUUAGGGCACACCUACUUUGUGUGAUCGGAUCGUUAUUCGGGGCACCUGCGUUUCCAGUUACACCGGCAGGGGUGAGGUCCACUCAUACUCCUGUACAUAUGCAUAGUUUUGGUGCGUACGCUGCUGAGAGUAGCCCGUGGGCAGUACGAGAUUAGUCGGAACCCGAGGGGCCGUCCCAGCCUGAGCAGAGACAGCAGCCACCCAGAGAUGCAAAGGGGAAGGGCAGGAGAUGUCACACGGGCAGCCAUAUCUUCGAACAUAAGAAGAAGUAGUUUAUGUCUUUUGAGUUUAUGUAUUUUCAGUUUGUAGUUGCGUUGUUUGCUUAUGUAUGUUUAUUUGGUACUUGUUGCUUAUGUAUGAACACUUGGUAGUUGUUGCUGCUUUUCAGUUUAGGUGUCAUUAUGUAUGUAAACAUUAUUGCAUAA